rnacentral:other from 1 species
CAUUGUACGGACACAGAAGUUACUAGGAUGGUAGCUUGCAAAGGACAGCAAUGGACACCUCUAGGAUAGAGGAAAGGAUUAACAUCAGGAUGAUGUCAGGGACACCGCUCAAGGAACAAGUGAGUAAUACCAGUAAGGAUAUUGGUCUGCCAGGAUGGGGCUUUGGACACCGCUAGGAAGGCGUGAAAGGAUUAAGCUUAGGAUAAGCAUACUUAUCAUGGAAUAGAUGCAUGGAGCACUUUUAGUAGCUGGAUUGCUGCAAGUAAGGUCAUAACCCCGAAGAGCGAAAGCUCUCGGGGUUUUUCUUUUU